rnacentral:lncRNA from 1 species
AUUCCACCCCCGCUCCAUCUGCUCCUUCCUUGCUACCAACCACCGCCCCAUUAAUCUUUUUCCUUUGCCAGCAUGAAGAAUCAGAGCACAUCUCCUAUACGUUUUCUUUCCAAGAAGAUCCGUUUGCUUGUGAUGGGUAUUAAAGCUGCCCACCGCCCCUUUCGGUUCCAUGGAAAGCUCAAUUGAUGCACAUGUUCGCUCCUCUGCCUUCUUUAUUAGAGGGUUUUAAGAGAUCAGACAAGUUAAAGCAGAAGUAAAUCCUCAUUGCUCCUCUUUGGCUGUUGCUUCUUUACUCAGCUUACCUGUUAGAGGAGUCGCUUUCAGAACAAGAGCUUUUGUCAUGGAGAGUACUCACUCACCUGCACCGAGAUUGCCUGCCUUUCAGAGCUGCAAGGAGAACAGGAAGGAAGUACAGACUCUACGGCUCAGCAGAUCUCUAACACUAAGAUUGGGCGGUGAGGUUUGUGGCUUUGUUGGUUUUCUUCUUGGCAUUGAGGACCUGAUCCAGUGCCCAGUGAAGGAAGGAGUCCUGUGCAUGACUCCCAUGGGCACUGGAGUGAGCCAUAAAACUACAGUUGAGGCAGAUGGAUUCAGCGGAGGGUGGACACUGUCUCAGAGCUUUGGGGGUAGCUCUAAGGGAGGCUUUAAAGCACAGCUAGUAGACAAUUGGCAAGAAAAUUUUUGCAAAUAAAUUGACUUUUUUGGGUCAGAUGGAGAUUGACAAAAUAUCAGUCAGCUUCUUCUUUUUGGUCAUGUUGAGUCUAACAAAAUAGCAACCAGCUCUGUGCCUUUGUUGAGGCCUGGGGCCU